UGAGGAAUAUUGGUCAAUGGGCGCGAGCCUGAACCAGCCAAGUCGCGUGAGGGAAGACGGUCCUAUGGAUUGUAAACCUCUUUUGUCGGGGAGCAAAAAAGCAGUUAUGUGCUAAUUGAGAGUACCCGAAGAAAAAGCAUCGGCUAACUCCGUGCCAGCAGCCGCGGUAAUACGGAGGAUGCGAGCGUUAUCCGGAUUUAUUGGGUUUAAAGGGUGCGUAGGCUGAAUGUCAAGUCAGCGGUAAAAUUGAGAGGCUUAACCUCUUCGAGCCGUUGAAACUGGUGUUCUAGAGUGGGCGAGAAGUAUGCGGAAUGCGUGGUGUAGCGGUGAAAUGCAUAGAUAUCACGCAGAACUCCGAUUGCGAAGGCAGCAUACCGGCGCCCAACUGACGCUGAAGCACGAAAGCGUGGGGAUCAAACAGGA
rnacentral:rRNA from 1 species